rnacentral:lncRNA from 14 species
UUCAACACCAUGAACGUAAUAGAAAUUAUUGGGUUUCUGCCACACAGGGACUUUGUGAAGGGGCAGGAUCCACAAGACCAUGGAGAUGAGGUUCUCCCUGGCUUUUCUUCCCAGUAAAAGGCUUUGGGAAGACCUUUCAGUCCUCUGAAAUGGCAGCUGAGCAGGCAGGGAGCAGUGCUGCCAGGUGAGAUGAAGUCCUCUCUUUUUACUCCUCAUACUUUUCAUCAGCUUCAUUACUGAUUACAGCAUCCCCUUUCAGAUGAUGUGGCCCAAAACCACAUGUGUACAUAGAGAGAGACAGGACAGUGCUCAGUGUUCCAGGCUGGAAGCUGGGACUGCUCUGGGACAAUCAGGAGCAGUGCUCGUUUUCCAGUUAAGCUAUGGGCUGUGCUAAGGCAGACGGG